GCAGAAGGAGCCUUUAGUCCCGAUUGAAGCCGAGCCUUUAGUCCUUAUUGGUAACACCAACCGAGAUUAAAAGCUAUUGUCACGUUCCGUCUCACCUGCCGCCGGGACUAAAUGUUGAAGUUUAGUUCCGGUUGGUAAUUGUAACUGGGAUUAAAUGUCCUUUCCUAUAUUUGAACUCUUCUUAUUCCCCUGGCCGAGCCCGAUCUUCACUCUUUUGUUGUGUUCUUCACAUUUGUUCUUACUUGUUCUUGCUCUCAUCUCCGGCUACUGAUUCAUUUCAUCAUUUCUACGCCAUCAUCGACUUGUUAAGAGGUCACUAGCUUCAUCUUCUCGACAUUAGCAGCGACAUAUGUCAUUUCCUAGUGUUUUAUAUGUUUUUUUUUAUUUUAUGAAUUCUACGCUAUUUUAAACUCCAAUCACUUGAUCGUUUGAAUAUUUGAAUGAUACCAACUAUAAUUAGUUCCCUAAAAUUUAACUUUUCAUUACUAUUAUGUCUACCACAUUUAAUGGUUUAGUUAGAUAAAUAGUGAUACUAUGGUUUUUUUAAUUAGUUUAGAAAAAAAUUUAAAACUUAUAAUACUUUAAUUUGCAAUUUGUGACCGAGUUAAUUAGUUAAUUAUAAAAAUAGAGAACUUUUGUGCUUUUUUAAUUUUGCUUGUUUAGAAAAAUUAGAAAUAGAGAAUUUUAGGGUUUUUUUAAAUUUAUGUAUAAAAAAUUACAAUACUUUAAUUUGCAAUUUAAGACAAGGUUAAUUAGUUAAUUAUAACUUGUAUGCAUGCC
rnacentral:lncRNA from 1 species